UUUACAUUCACAUUUUGGGAUGAGGGAUGAUUUGGGAAAAUGAAAGCACUUCCGCCUGCUUUCCUGGAUCUUCCCCCCGCCCCGUGGCUAUAUUCCCUUCCUCCCUUGUUGGCUCUCCUGUUUCUAAGAAUUGUUUUCACUCAGUUUGGGGAAAUAGAAUGGAAAUCAGAAGACUCAGGCUCGUGCUCAUCAGCAGAUGGAUAAAAUCCCUUUGUUUUGUUAGACUCGAUAUCUCCCCUAUACGAGUAAAGGGAGGGUGAACUAGAGUGUCUCUCCAUCACCUCCUUGUUAGAAUCUGUGCACGAACAGGUCCCCAUUAACAGCUGAACAAGGAGGUCUUUAGAAUUCUCUUGCUAAUUUCCAAAACGCUACAGUUAAGCAGAUGUUUCUCAUAAUUGCUGGGUGAACUAUGUGGGCGGAUUUCAGAAGAAGCAAGUUUAAAUCCUAGAACAUGAGUAAGUUAAGAGUCAGUGGAGAUGAGACUGUAAAAGUGGCAUCAAUGUAGUUAGGAAGAAACUUGCGUUAUAUGUUAUGUUUGGAACUUUAUUCUUUGGGUGAUGGAGAUGUUUGGAAGAGUGACUAUAUUUGUGUUUUAGGGAGUUCAUUCUGAUGGUUGCAUGAAGAUGGUGAAAGCGGAAGACAGUCCCCUCAGAUUAGUCUGCUUUGCUCAACACUGUGUGGUCAGUACUACACACAGCACUCAGCACAGAAUAAAGGCCUAAGUAAACUGAUGUUGAAUCAGCAAAUGAAUUAAUGAAUCAUGACAUUAAAAGUCGUUACCCUGGGAUUCAGAAGACCAACAGCAGGAAGGAUGGUGACUCAAACCCAGAACCCC